rnacentral:rRNA from 1 species
UUUGAUCCUGGCUCAGGAUGAACGCUGGCGGUCUGCUUAACACAUGCAAGUCGAACGGGCUCUUCGGAGAAUCUGCCUUCAGGUUGGGGACAACAGUUGGGAACGACUGCUAAUACCCAAUGUGCCGAGAGGUGAAAGCUUUAGUGCCUGAGGAUGAGCUCGCGUCUGAUUAGCUAGUUGGUGGGGUAACGGCCUACCAAGGCGACGAUCAGUAGCUGGUCUGAGAGGAUGAUCAGCCACACUGGGACUGAGACACGGCCCAGACUCCUACGGGAGGCAGCAGUGGGGAAUUUUCCGCAAUGGGCGCAAGCCGGACGGAGCAAGACCGCGUGAGGGAGGAAGGCUCUUGGGUUGUAAACCUCCUUUAUCAGGGAAGAAGCUCUGACGGUACCUGAUGAAUCAGCAUCGGCUAACUCCGUGCCAGCAGCCGCGGUAAUACGGAGGAUGCAAGCGUUAUCCGGAUUUAUUGGGCGUAAAGCGUCCGCAGGUGGUUGUUCAAGUCUGCUGUUAAGGCGCGAGGCUUAACCUCGUACAGGCAGUGGAAACUGAGCGACUAGAGUAUGGUAGGGGUAGCGGGAAUUCCCAGUGUAGCGGUGAAAUGCGUAGAUAUUGGGAAGAACACCAGCGGCGAAAGCGCGCUACUGGGCCAUUACUGACACUCAUGGACGAAAGCUAGGGGAGCGAAAGGGAUUAGAUACCCCUGUAGUCCUAGCUGUAAACGAUGGGUACUAG